rnacentral:rRNA from 1 species
AUAUCAAUAAGCGGAGGAAAAGAAACUAACAAGGAUUCCCCUAGUAACUGCGAGUGAAGCGGGAAAAGCUCAAAUUUAAAAUCUGGUCAGUCUUUGGCCUGUCCGAGUUGUAAUCUUAGAGAAGUCGUCUAUCCGCGCUGGACCGUGCUACAAGUCUCCUGGAAUGGAGCGUCAGUAGAGGGUGAGAAUCCCGUCUUUGACAUCGGACUGCACCAGGGCUUUUGUGAUGCGCUCUCGAAAGAGUCGAGUUGUUUGGGAAUGCAGCUCAAAAUGGGUGGUGAAACUCCAUCUAAAGCUAAAUAUUGGCGAGAGACCGAUAGCGAACAAGUACCGUGAGGGAAAGAUGAAAAGCACUUUGGAAAGAGAGUGAAACAGUAC